UACGGGGGGGGCAAGCGUUGUUCGGAAUUACUGGGCGUAAAGGGCUCGUAGGCGGCCAACUAAGUCAGACGUGAAAUCCCUCGGCUUAACCGGGGAACUGCGUCUGAUACUGGAUGGCUUGAGAUUGGGAGAGGGAUGCGGAAUUCCAGGUGUAGCGGUGAAAUGCGUAGAUAUCCGAAGGAACAUCAGUGGCGAAAGCGGCUUCCUGGACCAGAACUGACGAUCAGGCUCGAAAGCGUGGGGAGCAAACAGG
rnacentral:rRNA from 1 species